AUAUCCCCCCCUCUUCCGCCAAAUACCUCUCCGUCGCUCCCUCCUCCCCUCCGCCAGCCAUGAUGGCCUCCGUCACCGCCACCGCCGCCGUCGCCUCCUCCUCCGUCGCCAUACGCUCGUUCCGCGCCCACAAGCCCUCCCUCGCCCCAGAUCUGGACGAGGUCGGCCGCCGCUCGACCUCGUGCAGAUCUGGGCGAGGUCGAGCGGCCCCGCCCAUGGCUGCUCGACCUCGCCGUCGCCCAGAUCUGGGCGACGGCGACGGCGAUGGCGAGCGGCGGCCAUGGGCGAGGCCGGGAUCCGGUGCUUCGUCGCCGAGGGCCUCGCGAUCUCCCAACCGAGGGCCGCCGGCGGGGGACUGGUUGAUUGCGUGGUGGUCGGGGGCGGGAUCAGCGGGCUCUGCAUUGCCCAGGCGCUCACCACGAAGCACCGCGACAAGGCCCCUGACGUGGUCGUCACCGAGGCCAGGGACCGCGUCGGUGACGACCACGUCGUCAGAUUUCCGUCCCUUCAUCCCGUUAUUUUCCACUGAAUGCAUCUUCAGAUGUACUUCUUCUCCAGUUGGAUCUAUAUACCGCAUCCAAUGGAGUUCUAAUUAGAAAUGCUGCCAGAACUAAUCCCAAAGAUCCUUCUAUCGAGUUGGGACCUGAAUUUGAUAAGGUGAAGGUUACUUUAGUUGUAACCUCGGAAGUACAGCAUAUACAGUGAAGAGGCUGUUGAUGCAAUUUCUGCAUAAGUUAUGCAAAUGAGAGGUUGCAACAACAUUUCAACUGGCAUUUGUUAAAACUAGAGCAGGAAGUGAGCAUCACACAUGGACCGUAUCUUUAGUAGUUUUGUUUAGCAUUUAUAUGAUGGGGAUUGUCGCUAAAAGCCGGAUAUUCUUUUUUGACUCAUUUCUGUCGUCAUUAUUUAUUGUGCAAGAUUAGUUAUUGUGCAAGAUUAUUUAUUCUCUCAUUAUGUGUACUAUAAAGAAAAAUAUUUAUGUCAUUCUUGUGGAAAA